CAAGUCGAGUGCGCGCCUGUAGCAAUACAGGUGGCGCACGGCGCACGGGUGCGUAACACGUGGGUAAUCUGCCCUCUGAUGGGGAAUAACCCGCCGAAAGGCGGGCUAAUACCGCAUAACAUUCCUUGGAUUUCGGUCCGGGGACUCAAAGGCGUAAGUCGUCGGAGGAGGAGCCCGCGCACGAUUAGCUAGUUGGUAGGGUAAUGGCCUACCAAGGCUUUGAUCGUUAGCUGGUCUGAGAGGAUGGCCAGCCACACUGGAACUGAGACACGGUCCAGACUCCUACGGGAGGCAGCAGUGGGGAAUCUUGCACAAUGGGCGAAAGCCUGAUGCAGCGACGCCGCGUGGGGGAUGAAGCAUUUCGGUGUGUAAACCCCUUUCGAUCCGGACGAAUACCUCGCAAGAGGGGUGACGGUACGGAUAUAAGAAGCCCCGGCUAACUACGUGCCAGCAGCCGCGGUAAGACGUAGGGGGCCAGCGUUGUUCGGAAUUACUGGGUGUAAAGGGUUCGUAGGCGGUGUGGCAAGUUGGGAGUGAAAUCUCUGGGCUCAACCCAGAGGCUGCUUCCAAAACUGCUGUGCUUGAGUGUGAGAGAGGCGCGUGGAAUUGCAGGUGUAGCGGUGAAAUGCGUAGAUAUCUGCAGGAACACCCGUGGCGAAAGCGGCGCGCUGGAUCACUACUGACGCUGAGGAACGAAAGCUAGGGGAGCAAACAGGAUUAGAUACCCUGGUAGUCCUAGCCCUAAACGAUCAGGACUUGGGGUGCCACCCGUUCGGGUGUCGUCCCGGAGCUAACGCGUUAAGUCCUGCACCUGGGGAGUACGGUCGCAAGACUGAAACUCAAA
rnacentral:rRNA from 1 species